rnacentral:rRNA from 1 species
CCUACGGGCGGCAGCAGUGAGGAAUAUUGGUCAAUGGCCGGAAGGCUGAACCAGCCAAGCCGCGUGAAGGACGAAGGUGCCAAGCAUUGUAAACUUCUUUUGUCAAGGGACAAAAUCAGGCUCGAGAGCCUGACCGAGGGUACUUGAAGAAAAAGCAUCGGCUAACUCCGUGCCAGCAGCCGCGGUAAUACGGAGGAUGCGAGCGUUAUCGGGAUUUAUUGGGUUUAAAGGGUGCGUAGGCGGACUGUUAAGUCAGCGGUAAAAUCCCGGGGCUAAACCCCGGCGGGCCGUUGAGACUGGCUGUCUUGAGAAGUCGAGAGGUAUGCGGAAUGCGCAGUGUAGCGGUGAAAUGCUUAGAUAUUGCGCAGAACUCCGAUUGCGAAGGCAGCAUACCGGCGGCGAUCUGACGCUGAGGCACGAAAGCGUGGGUAUCGAACAGGAUUAGAUACCCGAGUAGUC